rnacentral:rRNA from 1 species
CCUACGGGAGGCAGCAGUGAGGAAUAUUGGUCAAUGGGCGCGAGCCUGAACCAGCCAAGUAGCGUGAAGGAUGACUGCCCUACGGGUUGUAAACUUCUUUUAUAAAGGAAUAAAGUGAGGCACGUGUGCCUUUUUGUAUGUACUUUAUGAGUAAGGAUCGGUUAACUCCGUGCCAGCAGCCGCGGUAAUACGGAGGAUCCGAGCGUUGUCCGGAUUGAUUGGGUUUAAAGGGAGCGUAGAUGGGUUGUUAAGUCAGUUGUGAAAGUUUGCGGCUCAACCGUAAAAUUGCAAUUGAUACUGGCAGCCUUGAGUACAAUUGAGGUAGGCGGAAUUCGUGGUGUAGCGGUGAAAUGCUUAGAUAUCACGAAGAACUCCGAUAGCGAAGGCAGCCUUCUAAACUGCCACUGACAUUGAUGCGCGAAAGUGUGGGUAGCAAACAGGAUUAGAUACCCGAGUAGUC